GACGAACGCUGGCGGCGUGCUUAACACAUGCAAGUCGAACGGAAAGGCCCUGCUUUUGUGGGGUGCUCGAGUGGCGAACGGGUGAGUAACACGUGAGUAACCUGCCCUUGACUUUGGGAUAACUUCAGGAAACUGGGGCUAAUACCGGAUAGGAGCUCCUGCUGCAUGGUGGGGGUUGGAAAUUUUCGGCGGUUGGGGAUGGACUCGCGGCUUAUCAGCUUGUUGGUGGGGUAGUGGCUUACCAAGGCUUUGACGGGUAGCCGGCCUGAGAGGGUGACCGGCCACAUGGGGACUGAGAUACGGCCCAGACUCCUACGGGAGGCAGCAGUGGGGAAUAUUGCACAAUGGGCGGAAGCCUGAUGCAGCAACGCCGCGUGCGGGAUGACGGCCUUCGGGUUGUAAACCGCUUUCGCCUGUGACGAAGCGUGAGUGACGGUAAUGGGUGAAGAAGCACCGGCUAACAACGUG
rnacentral:rRNA from 1 species